AUACAUAUAACGGCAUUUCAGCACUAGGUGAGGACAAGGCCUUUUCACUUUAUGUAUGAUUGCGAGCGAGAUUUUUAGGUUUGUGUCAGUUGGAGAAGAGGAAACUGCGAUUCAUUUCAUUUCUUGUAAAUUUGUAAAUUUGUAAUACAGAGGUGACUGGAGAGGAUGCUGCAAUGUCUCUCUCUGAAAUUAUCGUCGUCGUCGUCACCCUCCUCAGCAGCAGCAGCGGCUCCCAAUGGCAAUACUCAUUCUCAUCCGCCUCCCCCGUCGCAAGGAGGAACGAGCUCUGAGGCAUCGCCCUCCGCCACUCUCACCCACGAGUACACCCGCGCCGUCCAAAGCCAAUCCUACAAUGAAAUUUGGUCCAAGGUUCAUCAGGUCCACGACCACCACCAUGAUCCUGGUCAUGAUGAGCUGCCGCUGGAGGAGGAGGACCACGACGAAUCGGAUAAUGAAGAGAGCCGCCACCGCCGGAGUCAGAGGCAGCACCAGCUUCUGUUGGGGCGAGUGCUUCAGCCCAACCGAGAGUGCGUCCAAGAGGCGCUUCGCCUCGCCAAGCCCAACUCCCUCACUCGCCUGGUCUCCGACUACUUCGACCAGAGCGAGAACACGACCCAAGCCUGCCUGCUGCUCCUCCACCGCAGCGUCUAUCGAGCACGCGAGCUCUAUGCUCCGCUCCACCAACUCCUCGACGCCGUCGUCCACUCUGACUCUGUGGAGUCGUCACUGAGCCUCAACCUCAGCCUCAGCCAGUCCCAGUGCCGUCGGGCCUUGGACGUCUUUCUUCAGUUCGACCUCCACGACAACCCCUUCCCUUCCCCUGACGACGCCGACUCCCCCAAUUUGGACAACAUGCGCCGUUGCUUCUCCCAGCUCAAGCUCCAGCUCGACAGCCGCCUCCGCUCCUCCCGCUCCAAAAUCCGCCUCAUUCGCCGCGCCACUCUUGCCUCCGCCCUCUGCUUCAUUGGCACUGCCGUUGGAGUCGCCGUCUCUGCUGUGGCUGUCACAGUCCACGCUCUCACUGCCGCCCUCGUCGUUGUUGCAGCGCCGCCUUUGUGCUGCACUGCCACUAGCACUGGCUCUGGCUCUGGUAGAAGCACCAGUUGUUGCAAUUGCCGCACCAUGACUACCACUGAGAAGAAGGAAAUUGCCAAUAUGAAGCAACUUGAUGCUGCUGCCAUGGGUACUUGUGUCCUCGACAAUGACCUUGCCACCAUUGACCGACUCGUUCGCCGCCUCCAUGCCGCAGUGGAGGGGGACAAGCUUCUGGUUCGCCUGGGAUUGGAGAGGGGAUCUGUCAGUGGCACUGCGGUCGACAAGCAUCCAAUUCAGGAGGUGCUGAAACAGCUGCACAAGAGCCACCCCAAUUUCCUGCAACUUGUGGACGAACUUGAGGAGCAUAUAUGCCUCUGCUUUAACACCGUCAACAGGUCCAGAUCGCUGCUUUUCCAGCACAUCUAUACACUUUAAUCUCUAUCUACUGACAUUGUUAACAGAUGAGGGCAGUAAGAUGCGUGAACGAGCCCACUCAGCAGCUGAUUCCACCAGUAUAUCGUCAGCAAAUUACAAUCAGGGCUUGAGGCUUGGCUGAAUACAAGUGUGUAUCAAGAUUAUAGUCUUGUUCAGAGUAAAUAUCUUCAUUUGCAUCUGCAUUAUCAAUACCUAUGAAGGUGACAGCUUCUCAUGGAUGUAUGAUCCGGUCAUCCUUCCAGUUCCAGGUGAUAGCUUCAUAGCUGAUGACCAUCAGGGCGAUGUGCGAUGUGAAAUUGUGAAUACCAUUACUCACUCUAGCAGAGAGCUGACUUGAGAAAGAGAAUAGUUGUUUGCCUCAGAAGAGUUAAUUCAAGCUUCUUGUGUUUUGUUGAGUUGAGUUGAGUUGUUUGAAAUGUGGAUAUAUUUUACAUGUUUAUUUAUUAAGAACAUCUUUGAUCAU